UGGGGAAUAUUGGACAAUGGGGGCAACCCUGAUCCAGCCAUGCCGCGUGUGUGAAGAAGGCCCUAGGGUUGUAAAGCACUUUCAGCGAGGAGGAAAUCAUGAGGGCUAAUACCCUUCAUGGGGGACGUUACUCGCAGAAGAAGCACCGGCUAACAUCCGUG
rnacentral:rRNA from 1 species